rnacentral:rRNA from 1 species
GACGUAGGGCGCGAGCGUUGUCCGGAUUUAUUGGGCGUAAAGAGCUCGUAGGCGGCUUGUCACGUCGGAUGUGAAAGCCCGAGGCUUAACCUCGGGUCUGCAUUCGAUACGGGCUAGCUAGAGUGUGGUAGGGGAGAUCGGAAUUCCUGGUGUAGCGGUGAAAUGCGCAGAUAUCAGGAAGAACACCGAUGGCGAAGGCGGCGAUCUGGGCUGAUACUGACGCUGAGGUGCGAAAGCGUGGGGAGCAAACAGG